CCAGCAGCCGCGGUAAUACGGGAGUGGCAAGCGUUAUCCGGAAUUAUUGGGCGUAAAGCGUCCGCAGGCGGCCCUUCAAGUCUGCUGUUAAAAAGUGGAGCUUAACUCCAUCAUGGCAGUGGAAACUGUUGGGCUUGAGUGUGGUAGGGGCAGAGGGAAUUCCCGGUGUAGCGCCGAAAUGCGUAGAUGUCCGGAAGAACACCGCUGGAGAAGGCGUCCUGCUGCGCCAUCUCUUACGCUCAGAGAUG
rnacentral:rRNA from 1 species